CCCACCCAAAUGGAUCCAGAACAAAUCAAGAAUCUUACCUUUGGUGAAAGGUUGAAAGCAUUAUAGUCGCCUGCUAUAUUGCAGUUAGGUCUUGAAGGUAAAUGAAGAGGGAUACAAAGAUUCUCCAGCAAAGACCCUCUUCUUAGGAAGAGAAAGCAAGAGAGCAAGGGUGUCAUAUCAGGGCUUCCCUGGUGGUGCAGUGGCUGGGAAUCCGCCUGCCAAUGCAGGGGACACAGAUUCAAGCCCUGGUCCCAGAAGAUCCCACAUGCCGCGGAGCUACUGAGCCUGCAAGCCGCAACUACUGAGACCGUGAGCCGCCACUACUGAGCCCGUGAGCCACAGAUACUGAGGCCCACGCGCCUAGAGCCCGUGCUCUGCAACAAGAGAAGCCGCCGCGAUGAGAAGCCCACGCACUGCAACGAAGAGUAGCCCCCGCUUGCCACGGCUGGAGAGGGCCCACGUGCAGCAACGGGGACCAAAC